GUCACCCCAAGAGAAAUAAGUCUCAGCCCAUCAACUUGCUGAUGCUACAACUUCUCUGAGAGAGGUGAGGAUGUUCUCAAAGGAGGCAAGAAUACUCAUUAUUGAAAAGGUAAAACAUGAUUUAAAAGACUUGUGAGAAAAGUUGUUUUCUAGAAGCACAACAAACAUCACGAGGAAGCCAUGUUGCUUAUCUGCAGGCUUUGAUAUUUCUGUGUUGGAUUAGUCUUUGAUAUUUGGAAAUCAGAUCAUCAUUAUUGGAGCAGUGGCGUUCUUAAUGAGGGAAAAAAAAACAUCUAAAGCGAACUAAAUGGUGGAGAGGAAAGUCUGUAAAUGUUAAUAGAUUUCUCUCCCACGCAAAUCAGGGACGCUGAAGAUGACAUCUGCAAGGGUAGGUUUGUCAGAGCACUUUACAACCAUUAUCCCAAUUUGCUCCUGUAACAAUCAUGAACGAGAAGAGUGAAGAACUAUUGGGCUGUUCCUUAGAAUAGAGACAGUGAUGUGGACAAGGCAGUAUACAACGUAUGGGCAUAAGAGGGAGUCUUAUGGGACCAGAUCCAGCAGCACUGGUCAGUGAUGGAUUGGAAGAAAACUCGCCCUUCAGCACAGAAGGUUUGAGCAGCACAGCUUUACUGGGUCCUCCUGGGUUAAUCCUUCCUAAACGUACUUGUCUUGUGAAUUAUUCCCUUACGCAACGAUUUUAAUGUCUUCUCGUCUUCCAUUGUAUCAUGUUGUAUUAGUCCGUUCUCACGCUGCUAGGAAGAAAUACCUGAGACUGGGUAAUUUAUAAAGAAAAGAGGUUUAAUUGACUCAGUGCCGCGAGGCCGGGGAG
rnacentral:lncRNA from 1 species